UACUAGAUGACGAUUUGGUAGAGUCGGUG
rnacentral:piRNA from 1 species